AUACGUAGGGUGCAAGCGUUAAUCGGAAUUACUGGGCGUAAAGCGUGCGCAGGGGGUUUUGUAAGACAGAGGGGAAAUCCCCGGGCUCAACCUGGGGACCGCCCUUGGGACUGCAAGGGGAGAGUACGGCAGAGGGGGGUGGAAUUCCGCGUGUAGCAGUGAAAUGCGUAGCUAUGGGGAGGAACACCGAUGGCGAAGGGAUUCCCCCCGUCCCUUAGUGGCGCUCAUACCCGAACGCGUGGGGAGACAUCAGAAUUAGAUCCGCUGGUCGCCCACGCAAUAAACGAGGUCACCUGGAUGUUGGGUAUUCAUUGACCCAGUACCGAAGCUAAAACGUGAAGUUGCCCCCCUGGGGAGUACGGCCGCAAGGUUGAAACUCAAAGAAAUUCACGGGU
rnacentral:rRNA from 1 species